UGGGGAAUAUUGCACAAUGGGCGAAAGCCUGAUGCAGCGACGCCGCGUGAGGGAUGAAGGCUUUCGGGUUGUAAACCUCUUUCAGCACAGAAGAAUUUGACGGUAUGUGCAGAAGAAGCGCCGGCUAACUACGUGCCAGCAGCCGCGGUAAUACGUAGGGCGCGAGCGUUGUCCGGAAUUAUUGGGCGUAAAGAGCUCGUAGGCGGUUUGUUGCGCCUGCUGUGAAAGACCGGGGCUUAACUCCGGGGCUGCAGUGGGUACGGGCAGACUAGAGUGCGGUAGGGGUAACUGGAAUUCCUGGUGUAGCGGUGGAAUGCGCAGAUAUCAGGAGGAACACCGAUGGCGAAGGCAGGUUACUGGGCCGUUACUGACGCUGAGGAGCGAAAGCAUGGGGAGCGAACAGG
rnacentral:rRNA from 1 species